GUGCUCGCUUCGGCAGCACAUACACUAAAAUUGCAACGAUACGGAGAAGAUGAGCAUGGCCCCUGUGCAAGGAUGACACGCGAAUUCGUGAAGCGUUCCAUGCUUUU
rnacentral:snRNA from 1 species